rnacentral:lncRNA from 1 species
CUCGAACAGCUUUACCAGCUCGCAUAGUCCUAGCAAGAAAUAAGCUCAGGCCAAAUGUCCGCCUGCAUUCCCUUCAGCAUUUUGACAGUCUUCAAUCCUCUUGAUAAACUUCCCUUCCAACUCUACUAGACCCCGGUCCAAAUACCCUAGUCUCUUGUUGGCGCUGACAACCAUAUCUUUCCACUCCUCAAUCAACUUUUGAUGGGCUUUUUGUAUUUCCCGAUGCUCAUUUUCACACUCUCAAAUCCUCUUGCGCAAUUAAUUGUACUUAACCGGUGCUUCAGCUUUCUCAUCGAUGACUCUGUGGCCUCAGUUGAACCCGGGAUAACCCAUACCAUUGUGAUUAGUUUCCAACAAACCUAAAUAGUGAGGCACACAACCGGCGUGAUAACUGUCUGGCUCAAUAUAUUAUUUUCCCAAAAUGAGUUUGUAAUGCCACAUGUGUUAAGCUUUGCACUUGUGAGGGCUAUCAUUGUUCUGGAAGUCAACGCUGAAGUGACUCAUUUUGUUGACCCUUGGUAUGAUUUGCUUUCUUCCAGCCUGCCUCAUGGCUUGAAAGGGAAUGUAGGGAUAAGUUCCUUUUAGACCAAUGAGUAUUAGAAAUUGUGUGUCUCGGGAUAUAACAAUGAAUUCUUCUAUAGGGAACCACUUGGCCAUCGAUUAUACCUGGUCUUCUUUCAGAUUCUCAAAUAACUCAACCCAUCUCCAACGUCAUCUGGCUAAACGAACAUGUAAGGCAUAUAAUUUAUACGCCUUAGCUGGUGGAAGGCAAUGUGAUCAUCCCAGCCUCUGCAUAGGAUCUCUUACCGGUAAUCUCCUUUUUGGAGGUGCUCCAUGAGACAGAGCUAAAGUAAUAAGUUGCAACCUUGAAAAUGAUUGGCCCUUUGCUGACAGAUGUCCAAGGCUCUGUAUAUUCUAGCACUGAUCAUGGGCACUAUAUUGAAAGGCUGCCCGCCAAUUCCUUCCAUCAGAGUUUUGGUUAACAUAUCCAGUCUGGUGUGGAUCCUAGCCUUCUUUAUAGGGAACACUAUCAUCCCCACGAAACAAAACAUGAAUAGGAAGACCCUUCUGUGAAUAUGCCCUAAUGAGGUGAGGGCGAAUUUGUCUGAGCAGGUGCGAUAUGACUUUCUAUG